rnacentral:RNase_P_RNA from 1 species
GGAUAACGUCCGGUGGAGGUGACUCUAAGGAAAGUGCAACAGAAAACGAACCGCAGCAGCUUGCUGCUGUAAGGGUGAAAAGGCAGGGUAAGAGCCUACCGCGUUCCUGGUAACAGGAAUGGCAGUGUAAACCCCAUCCGAAGCAAGACCAAGCAGAGAACUAUAGGCUUGCCCGGUCUGUUCUCAGGUAGGUCGCUAGAGACUGGUGGUAACAUCAGUAGUAGAUAGAUGAUCAUCCCGGUCGCAAGACUAUGACAUAACCCGGCUUACAGCGUGACUUAUUAU